GACAGAGGGUGCAAACGUUGUUCGGAAUUACUGGGCGUAAAGCGUGUGUAGGCGGUCCACUAAGUCGGAUGUGAAAGCCCUGGGCUCAACCCAGGAAGUGCACUCGAAACUGGUGGACUAGAGUAUCGGAGAGGUUGGUGGAAUUCUCGGUGUAGAGGUGAAAUUCGUAGAUAUCGGGAAGAACACCCGCGGCGAAGGCGGCUCUCUGGGACGGUACUGACGCUGAGACGCGAAAGCGUGGGGAGCGAACAGG
rnacentral:rRNA from 1 species